rnacentral:rRNA from 1 species
GAUGAACGCUGGCGGCGUGCCUAAUACAUGCAAGUCGAGCGAACAGAUGAGGAGCUUGCUCCUCUGACGUUAGCGGCGGACGGGUGAGUAACACGUGGAUAACCUACCUAUAAGACUGGGAUAACUUCGGGAAACCGGAGCUAAUACCGGAUAAUAUAUUGAACCGCAUGGUUCAAUAGUGAAAGACGGUUUUGCUGUCACUUAUAGAUGGAUCCGCGCCGCAUUAGCUAGUUGGUAAGGUAACGGCUUACCAAGGCGACGAUGCGUAGCCGACCUGAGAGGGUGAUCGGCCACACUGGAACUGAGACACGGUCCAGACUCCUACGGGAGGCAGCAGUAGGGAAUCUUCCGCAAUGGGCGAAAGCCUGACGGAGCAACGCCGCGUGAGUGAUGAAGGUCUUCGGAUCGUAAAGCUCUGUUAUUAGGGAAGAACAAAUGUGUAAGUACCUAUGCACGUCUUGACGGUACCUAAUCAGAAAGCCACGGCUAACUACGUG